GCAUUAAUGGGGUAGUGGUAACCUGGGUCGUUGCCAGUGGCACUCGUCAUAGAGUUGUCGACCCGCCGGGGGUUCGAUUCCCUCUUAAUGCA